UUAAGUUCAGCGGGUAUCCCUACCUGAUCCGAGGUCAACCUGAAAAAAAGGUUUAACGGCGCGCGCCGUCUGUCCGACAAGCGAAUUGAUAAUUCACAACGCUCGGAGACAAGACGACUCGGCCGGCGACAUUAGGGCGCGCGGUGGACGCGGCGCCCAAUACCAAGCCAGGCUUGAGUGGUGUAAUGACGCUCGAACAG
rnacentral:misc_RNA from 1 species